rnacentral:rRNA from 1 species
UGGGGAAUAUUGCACAAUGGAGGAAACUCUGAUGCAGCGACGCCGCGUGAGCGAUGAAGGCCUUCGGGUCGUAAAGCUCUGUCCUAUGGGACGAUAAUGACGGUACCAUAGGAGGAAGCCCCGGCUAACUACGUGCCAGCAGCCGCGGUAAUACGUAGGGGGCGAGCGUUGUCCGGAAUUACUGGGCGUAAAGGGUACGCAGGCGGCCAAAUAAGUCAGAUGUGAAAGGUCACGGCUCAACCGUGGUAAGCAUUUGAAACUGUAUGGCUUGAGUUAAGGUGAGGAAAGUGGAAUUCCUGGUGUAGCGGUGAAAUGCGUAGAUAUCAGGAGGAAUACCAGUGGCGAAGGCGACUUUCUGGACUUAAACUGACGCUGAGGUACGAAAGCGUGGGGAGCAAACAGG